rnacentral:misc_RNA from 1 species
UCCCCUCAAUAUGCAUCCACUCCGGAAUGUCUCAGGAGGAAAGGUUGACACGGUACAAGGGUUUCAAGGAGGGGCAUAAGCGAAUUCUUGUGGCAACUGAUUUGGUUGGAAGAGGAAUUGAUAUUGAACGUGUUAACAUUGUUAUCAACUACGAUAUGCCAGAUUCAGCUGAUACCUACCUGCAUAGGGUGGGGAGAGCUGGUAGGUUUGGCACCAAGGGUCUUGCAAUUACAUUUGUCUCUUCUGCAUCUGACUCUGAUGUUCUGAAUCAGGUCCAAGCAAGGUUUGAGGUGGACAUAAAGGAGCUCCCUGAGCAGAUUGAUACUUCCACAUACAUGCCAUCAUAAUUUACAUGUGCAUUGAAGUUGAGCACUGAUGUCAUUGAGAGCUUGAUUGAUGGGGAAGUUCCAUAUGGGCAUUGAUUCAAUUAUCUUGUAAUAUGUAUUGUAGGGGAUUCACGCAGGAGUAUAUUUUCUCUGGAGGUAGUUGAUGACUUUAAAUAUUGAGCUUCUUGCUAAGUCGUUUAAAUUUUGAAGUUAGUACUUUUUGGGACGUUUUUGGGUUAUUGGAUGGUCCCGUAUUGUUUACCUUGCCUUUGCAUGUUGUAUUCUAUAUUCUGAUUUUUUUUCAACAAAGUUUUAACCAUGCAAUAGCCCAACAAAAAUC